GGAAGUAAAAGUCACAAGGUUUCCGUAGGUGAACCUGCGGAAGGAUCAUUCAUAAUAAAGUGUUUUAUGGCACUUUUUAAAAAUCCAUAUCCACCUUGUGUGCAAUGUUAGAUCUCGUCAAUCUUGGCGAGAUUUUUAUACAUUAACUCAUUCUUUAACUAAUUUGUCUGAAAAAUAUUAUGAAUACUUAAUUCAAAAUACAACUUUCAACAACGGAUCUCUUGGCUCUC
rnacentral:misc_RNA from 1 species